GACAGAGGUCCCGAGCGUUAGGCGGAAUCACUGGGCUUAAAGCGUGUGUAGGCGGAUUUGUAAGUACCUUGUGAAAUCCCACAGCUUAACUGUGGAACUGCUUGGUAUACUGCUUAUCUUGGGCCACUUAGGGGUUACCGGAACAAACGGUGGAGCGGUGUAAUGCGUAGAUAUCGUUUGGAACGCCAAUGGUGAAAACAGGUAACUGGGAGUGUGCCGACGCUGAGACACGAAAGCCAGGGGAGCGAACGGG
rnacentral:rRNA from 1 species